UGGAAAAAUUUCAUUGCCUAGCAGGACUAGGCUUUACUGUUUCUGUGAAUAAAAGACUGGAGAUAGAUGAAGUAGAAGACAAAUUUAUAACUAAUAAACUACUUCUUGAAUUGAACACCAUUACAGAAAGGUCCAAUGGUGUUUACACGUACCAGGAUGUCCUCAACUGGAUAUCAAGUCUUAGUGGUAAAGAAAAUGUAACCAACAAAAGCUUAUAUUUAAAGGAGAAAGAGAGAAUCAAAGAAAUAAAAAAGCAA